rnacentral:lncRNA from 1 species
AUGGUGUGAUUUAGAGCCGAUUAUGGGUUAGGCUUGGUUAUAGAAAAUGUUAAAUUUCAAUUAAGUUCGGCCCAAAGUCUGAGUAAAAAUAUAGUUUAGGCUUGAGGCCUAGUUCAUGAUCAGCUUUACUGUUAUCAGAAAUCUGAAAGAAAUAAAUUUUUGUUUUUAUUUUUUAGAAAGAAAAAUGGUAAUAAUGCCAAACGUGGUCUAAGUUUUUGAUUUUGUUAGAUUUA